rnacentral:rRNA from 1 species
UGGGGAAUCUUGCACAAUGGGGGAAACCCUGAUGCAGCGACGCCGCGUGAGCGAUGAAGCCCUUCGGGGUGUAAAGCUCUUUCGACGGGAACGAUAAUGACGGUACCCGGAGAAGAAGCUGCGGCUAACUACGUGCCAGCAGCCGCGGUAAUACGUAGGCAGCAAGCGUUGUUCGGAGUUACUGGGCGUAAAGAGUACGUAGGCGGUUUGCUAAGUCUGGUGUGAAAUCUCCUGGCUUAACUGGGAGGGUGCGCUAGAUACUGGCAGGCUUGAGUAUGGGAGAGGAGAGUGGAAUUCCUGGUGUAGCGGUGAAAUGCGUAGAUAUCAGGAGGAACGCCGGUGGUGUAGACGGCUCUCUGGACCAUUACUGACGCUGAGGUACGAAAGCGUGGGUAGCAAACAGGAUUAGAUACCCUGGUAGUCCACGCCCUAAACGAUGCGGACUUGGUGUAGGCAGUUCAGUCUGUCUGUGCCGGAGCUAACGCGUUAAGUCCGCCGCCUGGGGAGUACGGUCGCAAGGCUGA